AUUUUUUUUCAUAUCUC
rnacentral:miRNA from 1 species